rnacentral:rRNA from 1 species
AUACGUAGGUGACAAGCGUUAUCCGGAUUUACUGGGCGUAAAGGGCGUGUAGGCGGUCUUGCAAGUCAGAAGUGAAAUUCCUGAGCUCAACUCGGGCGCUGCUUCUGAAACUGCAGGACUUGAGUGCUGGAGGGGAUAGCGGAAUUCCUAGUGGAGCGGUAAAAUGCGCAGAUAUUAGGAAGAACACCGGUGGCGAAGGCGGCUAUCUGGACAGUAACUGACGCUGAGGCGCGAAAGCGUGGGGAGCAAACGGGAUUAGAUACCCUGGUAGUCCACGCGGUAAACGAUGAAUGCUAGGUGUUGCGGGUAUCGACCCCUGCAGUGCCGGAGUCAACACAAUAAGCAUUCCGCCUGGGGAGUACGGCCGCAAGGUUGAAACUCAAAUGAAUUGGCGGGG